CUAAGUACAGUGGCUUAUUUUUACCAGCUUAGGUUAAACUUCCCCAAGGUACAAACUAUGUUCCUUUUUCCCCUUGGACUUUAUUGCUGGCACCACCGAGCGUCUAACAGAUAUUUAACCAGGAAAGAGCCUGCUUGGAAAUGUCUUUCCCCCCAAAAUCCUCCCCAAACCCUACACCCCUUUCCUGAGGAAGGCUUGAUAAAAAUCCUCACCAAUUUACAUAGGUGAACAGAGACCCAAAC